GAUGAACGCCGGCGGCGUGCCUAAUACAUGCAAGUCGAGCGAAGCGGGGACGGGGUAGUAACACGUGGAUAACCUCCUAUAAGACUGGGAUAACUUCGGGAAACCGAGCUAAGCCGGAUACUUAUAGAUGGAACCGCGAUGCCUUCGCUAGUUGGUAAGGUAACGGCUUACCAGGUCAACGAUGCAUAGCCGACCUGAGAGGGUGAUCGGCCACACUGGAACUGAGACACGGUCCAUACUCCUACGGGAGGCAGCAGGAGGGAAUCUUCCGCAAUGGGCGAAAGCCUGACGGAGCAACGCCGCGUGAGUGAUGAAGUUCUUCGGAUCGUAAAACUCUGUUAUUAGGGAAGCGGGACCUAAUCAGAAAGCCACGGCUAACUACGUGCCAGCAGCCGCGGUAAUUC
rnacentral:rRNA from 1 species